CUGGCUCUUCACUUUAUUUCUGGGUCGGUUUGGAAGACUAGUGAUUUUGUUGUUUUUAUAAAAGUUUGUCACAAACAGCAAAUCGUAGUCUCCACUCUGCCCCAGGAGCCUGCCCUUCUGUAUCUG
rnacentral:pre_miRNA from 14 species